AUAUCAAUAAGCGGAGGAAAAGAAACCAACAGGGAUUGCCUUAGUAACGGCGAGUGAAGCGGCAAAAGCUCAAAUUUGAAAUCUGGCUCUUUCAGAGUCCGAGUUGUAAUUUGUAGAGGAUGUUUCGGGCAAGACUUUGGUUUAAAUUCCUUGGAACAGGAUGUCAUAGAGGGUGAGAGCCCCGUCUUGAACUAAUUGUCGCGUCCAUGUGAAACUCCUUCGACGAGUCGAGUUGUUUGGGAAUGCAGCUCAAAAUGGGGGGUAAAUUUCUUCUAAAGCUAAAUAUUGGCCAGAGACCGAUAGCGCACAAGUA
rnacentral:rRNA from 1 species